rnacentral:rRNA from 1 species
UACGAAGGGGGCUAGCGUUGUUCGGAAUUACUGGGCGUAAAGCGCACGUAGGCGGAUAUUUAAGUCGGGGGUGAAAUCCCGGGGCUCAACCCCGGAACUGCCUUCGAUACUGGGUAUCUUGAGUUCGGAAGAGGUGAGUGGAAUUGCGAGUGUAGAGGUGAAAUUCGUAGAUAUUCGCAAGAACACCAGUGGCGAAGGCGGCUCACUGGCCCGAUACUGACGCUGAGGCACGAAAGCGUGGGGAGCAAACAGG